ensembl:lncRNA
UCAGGCGUCAGUCAAACACACACAAGUGCAUUGCAUUACACAGCGAAUGUUUAUUAUAGCCACAAAUUAUUUUAUAAAGCAUUAAAAUUUUUACAUAAACUUCAACCAAUGAUUCAAUGUUCUUUUUUUAUGUACAGUAUACAAUCUCCUUUAGCAGUAGAUGAAACAGAACUUAAAGUGAGAAUGGCAGAAGGAUGCUUUUGCACUCAUAUAGUCUAUAGUUUGGAUCUAGGUACCGGACACCCGAGAUCUUGACCGCUGCACUGGAAACACACACUAUGCAUGCUAGUUUGGCUCAUCUAGACUGAUUUCAGUGAAGAUCUCUUCUGCUGCUCCCUGCUCUGUAAAACAUAAAAACAUAGUGACAAUGUAAACUUACAACAUUACCCAUUGCAAAGACCUAAUUUUUGUAAUUUUUUUAAUCAUAAAAUCGACCAAAAAUCAUUCUAGAGGCACGCUGGUCAAUUACUUUCUUUUGGUUAUACUGACCAGCAUUACUGACAUUAUUGUUGUUUUCAUUUUGCGUCGUAUCGGUGGCUUCAGCUUCGGUCAAAUCGUUUAAAUCACCUCCAAGCAGAUUUAGGUACAGGUUAAAAUCCUCGUUCUUCAUGGGUGUACUCAAGCUCGAGUUUGAAGAGAAACUGUUCUCUUCUGGAACAUUCUGAUAAUCUUUAAGAUAACAGACGGGAAGAUUAUCAUCACUACUGAAUAUAACAAAGUGAGCUUUUACAACUCAUUCAUUUCCCUCUCAGUGAAGAUAUUACAGAUUGGAAAAAAGCAACCAUCAAGAGAAGACUUUAAAUUAUGAGCCUGUUUGAGAGCUUGCUUGAAAUAACAGAUGCAAUACUGCCAAAACAAUGUAAAAAUGCAUGCUGUUUGGAAAAUGCUUUACCGUUGUCAUUGGUGGGUGCUUGUUCAGUUUUCUCUCCACAAGACCCAUUUGCGAUGGGAUUAGUCUUCUCCUCUGUAGUCUUGUCCUCUUCUUAUGCCUUGUUGGUCGCUCCUGAGCGGGGUGUCAGUGUAAUCAUUGGCAGCUACGUCGACGUGAGUCAGAUCAAAUGAGUAACUCUACAAUCACAAUGCAAGAAUUAUGCAAUUAGAAUACAGUAGAUCAGAUUAGACUAAGUGUGUGAGAAUGUAUGCAAAAUAUAUGAAAAUAUAUAUGCAAGUAUGUUGAAUGUUAUUUAAUUCAAUAAUUUAUUUAAAUUGUUUAUUUUAUAAAGUACGAUACAGGAUACAAUAAAAAAUUUACAAAUUUAAAGCUGCAAGAAAUGAACAUGUGAUUCUCUUUGAUGUAAGUGAUUU